rnacentral:rRNA from 1 species
GAUGAACGCUGACAGAAUGCUUAACACAUGCAAGUCGAUUCAAGUUACCUUCGGGUAACAAGGAUGGCGGACGGGUGAGUAACGCGUAAGGAACUUGCCUCUUGGUCUGGGACAACUGUUGGAAACGACAGCUAAUACCGGAUAUUAUGAGAUUCUCGCAUGGGAAACUUAUGAAAGCUAUAUGCGCCAAGAGGGAGCCUUGCGAGAAUCUCA